rnacentral:rRNA from 1 species
AUACGGAGGGUCCGAGCGUUAAUCGGAAUUACUGGGCGUAAAGCGCGCGUAGGUGGUUCAGUCAGUCAGAUGUGAAAGCCCCGGGCUCAACCUGGGAACUGCACCUGAUACUGCUGAGCUAGAGUACGGUAGAGGGCAGUGGAAUUUCCGGUGUAGCGGUGAAAUGCGUAGAGAUCGGAAGGAACACCAGUGGCGAAGGCGACUGCCUGGACUGAUACUGACACGGAGGUGCGAAAGCGUGGGUAGCAAACAGGAUUAGAUACCCUGGUAGUCCACGCCGUAAACGAUGUCAACUAGCCGUUGGGGGACCUGAUCCUUUAGUGGCGAAGCUAACGCGAUAAGUUGACCGCCUGGGGAGUACGGCCGCAAGGUUAAAACUCAAAUGAAUUGACGGGG